UACGGGGGGAGCAAGCGUUGUUCGGAUUUACUGGGCGUAAAGGGCGCGUAGGCGGUCAGCACAAGUCAGUUGUGAAAUCUCCGGGCUUAACUCGGAAAGGUCAACUGAUACUGUGCGACUAGAGUGCAGAAGGGGCAACUGGAAUUCUCGGUGUAGCGGUGAAAUGCGUAGAUAUCAGGAGGAACACCGGUGGCGAAGGCGGCUUCCUGGACAAUUACUGACGCUGAGACGCGAAAGCGUGGGGAGCAAACAGG
rnacentral:rRNA from 1 species